GAUAUAAUGGUUCAAUGGUAGAAUAACCGCCUUCCAUGUUUAACCUUGGUCAGCGGUUGACCGGUGUUCGAUUCACCGUUAUGUCA